rnacentral:rRNA from 1 species
CCUACGGGAGGCAGCAGUCGGGAAUAUUGCGCAAUGGAGGAAACUCUGACGCAGCGACGCCGCGUGCAGGAAGAAGGUUUUCGGAUUGUAAACUGCUUUCGGCAGGGAAGAAAAUAGCCAGUACCUGUAGAAAAACCUCCGCUUACCUACGUGCCAGAAGCGGCGGUAUUACGUAGGGAGCAAGCGUUAUCCGGAUUUAUUGGGUGUAAAGGGUGCGUAGACGGAGACGCAAGUUAGUAGUGAAAUCCCGCGGCGUAACUGAGGAACUGCAACUAAAACUACUUCCCUUGAGUGCGGGAGAGGAAAGUGGAAUUCCUAGUGUAGCGGUGAAAUGCGUAGAUAUUAGGAGGAACACCAGUGGCGAAGGCGACUUUCUGGACCGUAACUGACGUUGAGGCACGAAAGUGUGGGGAGCAAACAGGAUUAGAUACCCGAGUAGUC